rnacentral:rRNA from 1 species
CACGUAGGGCGCAAGCGUUGUCCGGAAUUAUUGGGCGUAAAGAGCUCGUAGGCGGUCUGUUGCGUCCGCUGUGAAAACUCGGGGCUUAACCCCGAGCCUGCAGUGGAUACGGGCAGACUAGAGGUAGGUAGGGGAGAAUGGAAUUCCCGGUGUAGCGGUGAAAUGCGCAGAUAUCAGGAGGAACACCGGUGGCGAAGGCGGGUCUCUGGGACGGUACUGACGCUGAGACGCGAAAGCGUGGGGAGCGAACAGG